GGGGAAUAUUGGGCAAUGGGGGAAACCCUGACCCAGCAACGCCGCGUGAAGGAAGAAGGUUUUCGGAUUGUAAACUUCUGUCCUUGGUGAAGAGAAGAAGACGGUAGCCAAGGAGGAAGCCCCGGCUAACUACGUGCCAGCAGCCGCGGUAAUACGUAGGGGGCGAGCGUUGUCCGGAAUGAUUGGGCGUAAAGGGCGCGUAGGCGGCUUUGUAAGUCUGGAGUGAAAGUCCUCUUUUCAAGGGAGGAAUUGCUUUGGAAACUAUAGAGCUUGAGUGCAGGAGAGGUUAUCGGAAUUCCCGGUGUAGCGGUGAAAUGCGUAGAUAUCGGGAGGAACAUCGGUGGCGAAGGCGGGUAACUGGACUGCAACUGACGCUGAGGCGCGAAAGUGUGGGGAGCAAACA
rnacentral:rRNA from 1 species